UUAACAGUUUACUUUUCUUUCAUGGGGCAUUGUAAAAUGAUGGAUGCACACAGGCAAAUCUAUAGAUUUCAAAUAUUGUUCACAAAAUGAGGGGGACAGCAAAGCAGCUCUAGUGACUGUUUUUAGAACCACACAGCAUUCAAGAUCAGCCAGAGAGAAGCUAACGGUUUGCUCAAGAACGGACAAAAAUCAAUAGAAUCAUUGCUAGUCAAUUCAGUAAAUACAGGUGGCAUUCUGAACUUUUCACACAUUGGUGAACAAAAUUCCAAACUUGAAAUUAGAGAACAACACUGAAUAGGUAAGCACAACUCAUCCUGUAAAGGUUCACAGAUUGCUUUGCAGUUUUAGGUGUAUCGUUAAAAAAGUUAGCUAUAUACUUAACAUAAUUGGUGAAAUAUGUGUGGACUGGAUAAGACGAUUUUAAUGUCAUUGCAUGGAAUGGAGAUUGACAAAUCAGUCAGCUUGGGUUCAUUUAAGGUAUUCCCUUUUUAUCUUAAAUCUGAUUUGUCCUAUACUGUGAGAAAAAAAGUAUAUAUUUUAUAUUUUCAUUUUUCCAAUGUCUUAAAAUAUUAAUAUUUAUUAAAAUAUUUUGAUCUUAUCCUCAAUUAAAGAAAUUGUGUGUGUGUGUGUGUGUGUGUGUGUGUGCAUGUCUGUUUGUCUCACAGUACCACAAAGGCUAGGUGACAAUCCAGUGACCAUUUGUGAUCUCACUGGAUCAACUAUUGCUAGGUGAAGGAUUGGCUGUUGCUAGGUAAUGUGGCUCUUUGUGAUGUAACUGGGAAAGUAAGGUGACACGUGUAUGAGUGGAGGGAAGGAAAGAAGAAAAGAGCCAAAUAGAAAGCUAUGUUGCCAUGAAAACAUUGUAUGGCUCUCCAGAGCUGGAGAAUGUGAAAAAAGAAGGAAAAGGAUAAGGAAGGGAGGGGGGAGAAAGAAAAGGGAAAGAAGAGAAAGGGCAGGAAAAAUGAUCCGUUUCAAAAAACAGUCUUUGGAUGGUUUGGUUGCUUUGGAUGCUCGUAACAACAUGGGCUCUACCGCCAUUUUUUUCCCAGUCACAACAGAACAGCGGCUGUCAAAAAUCGGCUGCUUUCGGUUUCUUUCAGUUACACGUGGAGUGCGGGGACAUGUACAUGCCUAGUGGUUUCUUAAUCCUGUUGCCUAAAACCCAGGUGUCUCGGAAGGACAGAAGAAUAAGGGAACAGAAGUGGAAACAGAUGGAAUAAAGGUGUGAUUUUGGAAGAAUGACAGUUGCAGAAAUACAAAUGGACAGAUUUGUCCCAUUCCUACCUCUACUUUAAUUAUCAAGCCAGGCAUCAAUUAAAUUUUGAAACAUUGUUAAAUACAUUUCUCCUGGAUUUUAAGCAGCAAAAACUUGCCACUCGCCGAAACCUUGAAUGCCAAUUCAAAGCUUGGAAGACCAUUUUUUAAUACUACAGCUCCAUAAAU